GACGAACGCUGGCGGCGUGCCUAACACAUGCAAGUCGAACGGAAAGGCCCGGUUUUUGUGGGGUGCUCGACUCGCGAACGGGUAACUAACACGUAAUUUACCUGCCCCUGACUUUGGGAUCACUUCAGGAAACUGGAGUUCAUACCAGUAUAGAACUCUCGCAUCUUGGUGGGAUUUGGAUAGUUUCGGUGGUUGGGGAUGGUCUCGCGGCUUAGUAGGUUGUUGGUGGAGUAGUGGACUAACAAGGCUUUGGCGAGUAGCCGGCCUGAGAGGGUCACCGGGCACAGUAGGACUGAGAUACGGCACAGAGCACUGCGGGAGGCAGCAGUGGGGAAGAUAGCACGAUGGAGGGAUGCCUGAUGCAGCAAGGCCGUGUGCGGGAUGACAGCCUGCGGUUUGUAAGGCGCUUUCGCCUGUGACGAUGCGAGAGUGACGGUAAUGGGUGAAUAAGCACCGGCUAACUACGUG
rnacentral:rRNA from 1 species